rnacentral:rRNA from 1 species
UGCAAGUCGAACGAGAGGAUGAGGAAGCUUGCUUCUUCAGAAUCGAGUGGCAAACGGGUGAGUAACGCGUAAACAACCUGCCCCCGGGAUGGGGACAACAGCUGGAAACGGCUGCUAAUACCGAAUACGAUCAUACUGCCGCAUGGCAGCAUGAUGAAAGGAUGGCCUCUUAAAAAAGCUAUCGCACGGGGAGGGGUUUGCGUCUGAUUAGCUGGUUGGAGGGGUAACGGCCCACCAAGGCGAUGAUCAGUAGCCGGUCUGAGAGGACGAACGGCCACAUUGGAACUGAGACACGGUCCAGACUCCUACGGGAGGCAGCAGUGGGGAAUCUUCCGCAAUGGGCGAAAGCCUGACGGAGCAACGCCGCGUGAGUGAAGACGGCCUUCGGGUUGUAAAGCUCUGUUAUAUGGGACGAACGGCUGCGGGGCCAAUACCCCCGCAGCGUGACGGUACUGUAAGAGAAAGCCACGGCUAACUACGUGCCAGCAGCCGCGGUAAUACGUAGGUGGCAAGCGUUGUCCGGAAUUAUUGGGCGUAAAGGGCGUGCAGGCGGCUGAUCAAGUCUGUCUUAAAAGUGCGGGGCUUAACCCCGUGAUGGGACGGAAACUGAUUGGCUAGAGUGUCGGAGA